GCUGCAACUUUAUGAAUAUUGCAUAUUACGAUUUAGGACGACUCAUCCAUCCCUUACCUCUCUCUUUUCUUUCAAUAACACUCAAACAAGGUCAUAGAUUCUCUUCCAUUUCCUCCUCACUCUGAAACAAGUCUUGAAGUACUCCGUUGUAUUUCACUACGUAAAAGUCAGCAUCAAUAAUCUAAUUCAUGAGCCUGUUUCAUAUACAAAAGCAAUCAUAUACUGAGCAACCCAAAAUAUAGGCUGC
rnacentral:lncRNA from 1 species